UACAGAUCAGUGUGUAGCACAUGCCAAUGGCAACCUUCUUCGCGAAACAUUAUGAACUUCCUGUCCGAUAUGCGUUGAAGGGUGCUCUCGGUCUGCUUUGUCACCGAGCCACACACUCAAGAAGGACAUCCAGAUGCAGGUGGAUGGGGGUGGGAGUGAUGUCCUAGUGAGGACCCUGGCGGCUGCGUUCCGAACCAUUUGGACCCUGUCCUUGUUCCUUCGUCUCCCUGGCCGACGUGAAGACAAUGCGCAAGAUGAUUGUAACAAACAGAUUGUACAAAAAAGCUCCUGCACAAUAAUUUGCCUAUAAUCAUUAUAUGUGAUUGUUUUUUGUCAUUGUGUAAAAAGUAACUUAAUGAGAUUCUUUAGUCCGAAAAGGCGAGUGGCGUUAAUGGCUGUCACCCACAGCUGGUGCACAGACACAUGCACGUCGUGUGCUAUUUUGUCAUUAUUGUAUAGUUUCUUGUUGUCUUUUAUUUAUCUAUUUGUACUUAAGUUCUGUUGUGUUGAUAAACAUCUGUAAAAGAAA